rnacentral:rRNA from 1 species
UACGUAGGGCGCAAGCGUUGUCCGGAAUUAUUGGGCGUAAAGAGCUCGUAGGCGGUUUGUCGCGUCUGCUGUGAAAACUCGAGGCUCAACCUCGGGCUUGCAGUGGGUACGGGCAGACUAGAGUGCGGUAGGGGUGACUGGAAUUCCUGGUGUAGCGGUGAAAUGCGCAGAUAUCAGGAGGAACACCGAUGGCGAAGGCAGGUCUCUGGGCCACUACUGACGCUGAGAAGCGAAAGCAUGGGGAGCGAACAGG